rnacentral:pre_miRNA from 1 species
GUAGUAUUCCCUUCGUCCCAAAAUUCUUGUCUUAUAUUUGUUUAGAUACGGAUGUAUCUAACACUAAAAUGUAACUAGAUACAUCCGUAUUUAGAAAAAUUUAAGACAAGAAUUUUGGGACGAAGGGAGUACAAA